UACAUAGGGGGCAAGCGUUGUCCGGAUUUAUUGGGCGUAAAGAGCGUGUAGGCGGCCAGGUAGGUCAGCUGUGAAAACUCGAGGCUCAACCUCGAGACGUCGGUUGAAACCACCUGGCUAGAGUCCGGAAGAGGAGAGUGGAAUUCCUGGUGUAGCGGUGAAAUGCGCAGAUAUCAGGAAGAACACCCGUGGCGAAGGCGGUUCUCUGGGCAUGUUCUGACGCUGAGGAGCGAAAGUGUGGGGAGCGAACAGG
rnacentral:rRNA from 1 species